UCCUUCCGACACCUCCCACCGUGGGUUAAAUGUUAGUUUCCCCUCUUCUUAAGUCCCAGAAAGCUUUUUACAAGCCUCUCCUGUUGAUAUGUAACAUUUCACCUUGGAGUAUAGAGGAGGAGUCGGCAAACCUUUUCUGGAAGGACCAGAGAGUAAAUAUUUUGGGCUCUGCGGCCCAUACAGUCUCUGCCACAACCACUCAGUCGUGCAGUUGUAGCCCCGAAGGCAGCCUGAGAGAACGGUGACUCAUUAUUUCCCCCUCCAAAGCCCUAGGAAGGCACAAAUCCCCCCACAUGACCGGCAGGGAGCUAGAGGGGACCUCCACGGCCCGUCCGAGAACAUUAAUUCCUCGGUGGUUGAUCUGCUGACGCAAGUCUUGAAGACACAAGGAAGUGGCUCAGGAAGAACCCCCAGGGUGUGCUCCGUCUUCCCUGCAGGUGUGUUUCCUACGUGACAACCAUCCUCUGGCUGUUUCACCUCGGCUGGAAGCAGCCACAGGGCUGUCUCCGAUGACAGGUGAGCGCUAGCUUCUCUCUACUCCCUAUGGAGUCCCGGCUGCAGCAACGGCAGAACGUACGCCACGACGUCCUGCAAUCAAGACAAUCCCGUAAGUAAAGAGAAGAGACAGCCCAAACCAAAGGGCAGUGGCGAAACGGAAGGCUGAGAAACAGAAGACCGAUUUGGCUUCUAAACUUUGCCCUCUGCCCGGAGCUCAGUGACUGCACUGCUAUCUGUAAAGGAAGCCCCAGGACAGCCACGCGGGGAGCUCACGCAGACCAUGCCUCCCUCACCCAAGUCCAGAGACCAGAACCGGCUGAGACUAAGUUCCACGUAUCCAUAUGGUCUACCACGGGCCAAGGGCCUCACCUGCACUUUGCUACAUUAAUAUGAUUAUGAUCGUUAUUCCUAGCGCUACCCGACCGCCACUCCCAUUUCAUAGCUGGGAAACGGAGGGGGGCGAUUACCGUGCAAGUCUGCUGGCUGGCGAGGCUGUGCUCGCUUUCCUUCACUGCGGUGCCUCUGCCGGUCCUAGCAAACGGGGAAAGUCCUGCACUAGUUCAGGGUAAUUACCAACGAGCUCAGGGCCCCCCAGACCUUCCUGGGUGGCUGUCCUUCAGCCAAGAAAUUGAUGGGAGCAAUUCUCACACACCCGCAAAAUUCAAGCCCGGUAUUUCUGCCGCCUCCCGAGGCUGAGCUAUCACUUGCUGUUUCCUUGUUUUAUCCUGAUUGUUCCCUAAAGCAAUAACAAUUGUCUACAGAAACACCAUGAAUCCCGCUGGCAAAGUCCAAACAAGAAUGGAGCAUGAAAGAUACCUGCCCCCCAGAAUCAGAAAUUAUUCCACGAGCCCUACAAGAAG